rnacentral:lncRNA from 1 species
UCUAGUAAUGCAGCUUGCUACUCACCUGGUGCUUCUAGUAGUGCAGGUACAAACCAAGCAAGUACUUACCCUGAAGGUACUUCUUAAAUGCACCCUGGUCCUAGUGCUAAUGGGCUCAUCUCCAGCAUUCCCCAAUUCACUCAAGACCAGUACAAUUAACUUCUUCAAUUGCUUUGAAAAGAAGCAGAUACUACCGAUUCCCCUGUGACAGCAGGUAUGACAACUUCUGCCGUAGCUGGUGGUGUGUUCAAUACCUCUAAAAAAUGGAUAGUUAACUCUGGUGCCUCCGCUCAUAUGGUUAAUACCCUCAAUCUUCUCACAGAUCCUAAAAUCAUUGACAGUAUCAAAUAUGGUAAAGUAUACUUACAAAAAAUAAGUAUAGCCUAUGUGAAACAUGUAGGAUUAGCUUGCAUUCUUCAAGGGCAAAAGAUAACAAAUAUUAUGCACAUUCCUGAAUUCAACUAUAAUUUGAUGUCUGCCUCUAAAUUGACUAAAGAGUUGAGAUGGGUUGUGUUGUUCUAUCUUGAUUUUUGUAUAUUUCAGGAUCUCUUAAGUGGUCAGGUGAAGGGAAUUGGUAAAUAAGAUGACGGACUAUAUGUGAUAACAACUGGAAACAUGAUUGAUAUUCAAGAUGAGACUAAAGGUGUUACAAGAGUCACUCAGGCUUCUGUGAUGAAUAAACAACAAGAUUCCGUAUUGUGGCAUAGAAGACUA